rnacentral:rRNA from 1 species
UCCGGGAAACCGGGGCUAAUACCGGAUGCUUGUUUGAACCGCAUGGUUCAAACAUAAAAGGUGGCUUCGGCUACCACUUACAGAUGGACCCGCGGCGCAUUAGCUAGUUGGUGAGGUAAUGGCUCACCAAGGCGACGAUGCGUAGCCGACCUGAGAGGGUGAUCGGCCACACUGGGACUGAGACACGGCCCAGACUCCUACGGGAGGCAGCAGUAGGGAAUCUUCCGCAAUGGACGAAAGUCUGACGGAGCAACGCCGCGUGAGUGAUGAAGGUUUUCGGAUCGUAAAGCUCUGUUGUUAGGGAAGAACAAGUACCGUUCGAAUAGGGCGGUACCUUGACGGUACCUAACCAGAAAGCCACGGCUAACUACGUGCCAGCAGCCGCGGUAAUACGUAGGUGGCAAGCGUUGUCCGGAAUUAUUGGGCGUAAAGGGCUCGCAGGCGGUUUCUUAAGUCUGAUGUGAAAGCCCCCGGCUCAACCGGGGAGGGUCAUUGGAAACUGGGGAACUUGAGUGCAGAAGAGGAGAGUGGAAUUCCACGUGUAGCGGUGAAAUGC